GACGAACGCUGGCGGCGUGCUUAACACAUGCAAGUCGAGCGGUAAGGCCCUUUCGGGGGUACGACGAGCGGCGAACGGGUGAGUAACACGUGGGUGACCUGCCCUCAGCUCUGGGAUAAGCCUGGGAAACCGGGUCUAAUACUGGAUAUGACUCCAUGACGCAUGUUGGUGGGGUGGAAAGCCUUGUGCGGCUGAGGACGGGCCCGCGGCCUAUCAGCUUGUUGGUGGGGUGAUGGCCUACCAAGGCGACGACGGGUAGCCGGCCUGAGAGGGCGACCGGCCACACUGGGACUGAGACACGGCCCAGACUCCUACGGGAGGCAGCAGUGGGGAAUCUUGCGCAAUGGGCGAAAGCCUGACGCAGCGACGCCGCGUGAGGGAUGACGGCCU
rnacentral:rRNA from 1 species